GUGAGGGGGGGGGGGGGGUUGGGGGUCUUGGGGGGCCCCAUUUGGGGUCACAGGAUGGGUUGGGGGGCUCCAUUUGGGGUCUUGGAGUGGGGUGGGGUCUCCAUUUGGGGUCUUGGGAUGGGUUGGGGGGCUCCAUUGGGAUCUUGGAGUGGGGUGGGGGGCUCCAGUGGGGUCUCCAUUUGGGGUCUUGGGAUGGGUUGAGGGCUCCAAUGGGGUCUCCAUUUGGGGUAGGAUCUGCAUUUGGGGUCAUGGGAUGGGUUGGGGGUCUCCCUUUGGGGUCACGGGAUGGGUUGGGGGUCUCCAUUUGGGGUCUUGGAGUGGGUUGGGGGGCUCCAAUGGGGUCUUGGAGUGGGGUGGGGUCUCCAUUUGGGGUCAUGGGAUGGGUUGGGGGGCUCCAAUGGGGUCUCCAUUUGGGGUGGGUUCUCCAUUUGGGGUCAUGGGAUGGGUUGGGGGUCUCCAUUUGGGGUCACGGGAUGGGUUGCGGGCUCCAAUGGAGUCCUGGGAUGGGUUGGGGGGCUCCAAUGGGGUCUUGGAGUGGGGUGGGGUCUCCAUUUGGGGUCUUGGAGUGGGGUGGGGUCUCCAUUUGGG
ensembl:lncRNA